ACCUCUGAUUGAGUGAGGUGGCUGUGGGGGUAAAUUGGGCAAUUCUUUGCUUCUGUGUGCAGGUGAUCCCCGGGGGAGCAGGUCCCUGCAUCUGACAGGGAAUGAGCACAUAACCAGAACAUACAGUCCUAUUGUCAGAAUAUGUCAUAAGAAGGUGGGUAGGAACAUGUGGGGACAAACCAUUUCCUCUCACUCUUUAGCUUAAUGUGUAAGCUAUUCAGAAAUACGUUAUUCAAGGCCAUCAAUGGAUAGUCAGUAAGUAAGUAUUUAUUGAACUCCAAAUGUGUAUCGGGCAUUAAAAAUAUGGAUGUGAAUAAGGAAGAGAAUAUCUGAUCCUUAAGUAGCUGAUUGAAUUGAAUGAGUGAAUCCAGUUUUAUCGUUACUUAUUAAGGAUGAUUGUCUUUAAAAGACAUUCUUUAGCAGAUGUUCAGUGGUUUCUCAGGUUUUAUAAAAAUUAUUAGAGAAUAAACAUUUUCCCAUGAGUUUAAGAAAAAUGUAAUUUUCCACAUAUGAAUUGUUAGUUCCUAUUCUUCAGCAUUGACAAUUCAAAAAAACAAAACAAAACAAAACAAAAAACCCACGUUUGGCAGAAGGGAGUGAAACUCUGAGAAGUUAAUGCAUUGUCCCAGGUCAUACUGGAAAUAAAAUAAGAGUCAGACCAAGAAACAGGGUCACCAACUCCUGGCUGGUGUUUGUUCUUCUAUGCAUUCCAAGCACUAUCUCUAAACAUAUCUUUCUAUCCCUGUCUUAAGGAUAAUAUGAUUUGUCUUAUACUCCUUAAUUAAGGAGAACGGGCCUCUGAGAAGCGCUGUUUCUAUAGAGCCCGACUUAUGCUUAUUCUGUAACUUUGGAAUUACAGAACAUUUUCUCACUAAAGUUGAAAUGGGAGAAGGCUGGGUUUUGUAUGAUUACUGGGACCAGAGAGGCCAGUGACAUUUUUUAUUUCUGAUUUUCCUUGCAGAGGUGAAAAUAUGCUUCUCACUUGUACCUUACACCUCCUUUCUUUAUGUUUUAAAGUUCCAUUCCCUUUUUAUAGCACCUUAGGGAUUCCUCCUUUCCAGACCUCUCUCUACUCCUUCUCUAAUAUCCAAACCAAUAUUCUUUGUAUUUUUCUGAUAAAAUAUUUCUUGAAUUAAUUAGGCAAAGUCAAGUUCUUUCUUGAAUUAAUUAGGCUUAUAACUAUACCUGUUACAAAAGAAUAAUACUUAGGCCUAAGACAUGGUCUGUUAACUCCAGUUUCUAUAUAGUAGCUGAUCUUUAUCUUUGUGUAUCUUAAAAUUACUGCUAUUGAAAACAUUGAAUUACUGUAGAGCUAUAACUAUCACUCAGGCAUUUUAAAAAAAAAUUGCAGGUUACAAAUCUCAAAAUUAAAUUAAUUAAAAUGUUUAGUUGGGAGUUCCCUUCAGGGCUCAGUGGUUAACAAACCUGACUAGGAUCCAUGAGGAUGUGGGUUUGAUCCCUGGCCUCACUCAGUGACUUAAGGAUCCAGCAUUGCCGUGAGCUAUGGUGUAGGUCACAGACACAGUUCGGAUCCCACAUUGCUGUAGCUGUGGCUGUGGUUGGCCGCUGUAGCUCCACUUCGACCCCUAGCUUGGGAACUUCCAUAUGCUGAGGCAUUGGCCAAAAA
rnacentral:lncRNA from 1 species